GACAGAGGGUGCAAACGUUGUUCGGAAUUACUGGGCGUAAAGCGCGUGUAGGCGGCCCUGCAAGUCGGAUGUGAAAUCCCACGGCUCAACCGUGGAAGUGCAUUCGAAACUGCAGGGCUAGAGUCCUGGAGAGGAAGGUGGAAUGCUUGGUGUAGAGGUGAAAUUCGUAGAUAUCAAGCGGAACACCGGUGGCGAAGGCGGCCUUCUGGACAGUGACUGG
rnacentral:rRNA from 1 species